CGGGCGGGAGGCGGCCGGAGCCCCGCUCCCCGGCCAGACCCUCGCCAAGUGGGCUCGGCAGGGGGGCGACGAGCGGAGAAAGGAGAAGGGGAAGGAGCAGGAGCAGGAGCAGGGCGGGCUCCCCUCUCCGCCCCCCGGCUGGGCGGCCCCUGCGCGGUGCUGCUGCUGCUGCUGCUGCUGCUGGUGCUGAAGGUGAAGCUCCGGCUCUCCAAUUACUUUUCCCAAGAGGGAGAAGGAGGCAGCAGGAGGGGAAGGAGAGCCGUGUGGGGAAGGCAGGCCAAUCAGAGCCGCGGUAACGGAGGGAUUGCUGCAGGACGCCGCGGGUUUUCCUCCCGUCCUCCGCCGCCGGGGCUGAAUUGGGACCGCACACAGCUGGCGGAGGGGCCGGAGCCGCACCGGGCUGCAGGACUUCCUCGCCCCAUAGCCAGCCCCUAAUUCUCCUCCUCCUCUCCGUGUUUUAUUUAUUUAUUUAUUUUUUUAAUACUCCGAGCCACUUCGAGUCUCCCCUCCCUCCCCACGCACUUCGCCCUCCCUCCCGCAUCCCCCCAGCCGGAUUCCCGCUCCGUUCCCCGACAGCCGGGGGACAGCCGGGCACCGACGGCCGCCUGCCUGCCUGCCUUUCCCCUCCGUGCCGAGCCGAGCCGAGCCGAGCCAAGGGGAGCCGAGGCGGGCGCGGCGCCGCUCCAUGCCCCCGGGCGCCGGCGAUGCUGGGGCGGUGAGGCCGGGGCUCCCCCUCGCCGGGAGGCGGCCGCUCGCGGGGUGCUGCCAGCUCGGAGCGGGGCUGCAGGAUGAAUAAGAGAUACUUACAGAAAGCAACAAAAGGAAAGCUGCUAAUAAUAAUAUUUGUUGUAACUCUGUGGGGGAAAUUAGCAUCUGGGGCAAAUCACCAUAAAGCUCACCAUGUUAAAACCGGGACCUGUGAAGUGGUGGCACUCCACAGAUGUUGCAAUAAGAACAAGAUAGAAGAAAGAUCACAGACAGUGAAGUGCUCCUGCUUCCCUGGGCAGGUAGCAGGUACCACCCGGGCAGCUCCUUCUUGUGUUGAUGCUUCAAUAGUGGAGCAGAAAUGGUGGUGCCACAUGCAACCAUGUCUUGAAGGGGAGGAAUGUAAGGUUCUUCCAGAUCGUAAGGGAUGGAGCUGUUCCUCUGGGAAUAAAGUGAAAACAACUAGGUCUUUUAUGCCGCCAUGCUGCAGUCCCACUGUGGAGUUUUGAUCACCACAAAAACCACAAGAGGAUAUAUCCUUGUCUGAAUUACAACAGCUAUUAUCUGUUACAGAAAGUAAAAUAAGGCAAACGUGUAAAACUCUUCAAGUCCGAAUGGAGAAGUAGAGAAAGGAGGUUUCUGCUGUGCCUGAUGACAAUUUUUGAUUUUUCCACACACACAAAAUAUUCUGGCUCCACGUUGGAGCACUAGUUGCACUAGUCUUGGUCGGAUUCUAAGGAAGGGCCAGAACGUUCGUUGAGGAAUAAAGAGUCAAACCACUCCAGAAAAUGUGAUCCAGCCCUGGUUUAUUACUCACAGAGCAGCAGGUAACCCGAUAGCUAAAGACAAAUCAAGUCAGUCUCAAGGCUGAUAACGUUAAAUACCACACAUAGGAAUUUCAUUCCUCCAGGCAAUCGUUGAAGUGAAAUUUUAUGCUGCUGGGGUGUAUCCUUCAGAAUCAAUUGUUUCAAUGAGAACCUGGUUUGCUAUCAGCAACAGCCUUGAGAUCAAAACUACAGUUAUUUUGAACUUCUGUGAAAGUUAUUUUGAACUUCUGUGUCACAAAGAUUUCAGUGGAUUGAACUCUAUACACUUGUAAAAUUGUACUUGCUGAGGAAUUUGCAGCUGUAACCUCAAGAGGAGAUGUUCAAAAUGUGCAGAAAAGCAGCAAUCAUUUGGAUUCUCCGUUCCAGACCGGUGACUUUUCAUCCUGAUGAAACCAGCCUCCAAAAUGUAUUGGUUCCUUCUCUUUAAAAUGAUCCCUGGUCCACCAUUCAGAUUGCUGGUGGGACUGCACACCGCUUUAAAUAAAUUUCCGUUGCAGAAUUUGUCCUCUGGCAUGGCACAGUUUUAGACAUUUUUAUUUGUAUUCUAAUCUCGGAGCUCUGAAGGGUACAUAUUUCAACAUCUUGAAGUUGCUUUUGUUAUAGGAAUGGAAAUAUAUAUCCAUUGUUAAUAAUUAUUGUUGACAAGUAAUAGUUAUCUGAAUACAUCAGUCAUAUUAGAAUGUAUAGUCAGGUUGACAUGUUUCCCUAAGGCUAACCAACUACUGCAGCUCUUUGGCAGUUAAAAAAGUAGUGGUCAAAACUCAAUUACCACUUCCAUUAUAAGGCAUUUUAUACCUUUAAGAUAUACAUUUCAAUUUAGUUUGAAGGAGAUGAGUGUUCCUGUACUUUACUUUCGUAACCUUUAAUUCAUUGAAAUUCAUGGUAAGCAGUCAAAGACAGUAUUUCAUCCCCUUUUGUAAAGGUAGGCAGGGUUGUAAAUGAGGUUUGCAAUUAUGAAAUUAGAUGGUAAUCAUUCAGAAUUUUUCUCUUUUUAUUAAAAAAUAAAAUCUCUUGCUUGAAACUAAGUACUGUUGGAUGCUUAUGUAGAUGUCUGCUCACUCUCUUUGGUAUAAAGGAAAAAAGUCCUAGUGCCCUCCCAGAUUCACAGUUCAUGAGUAUUUUGCUUGCUUACUGUCAUUCAAUUCAUACCUGAUCCAUGCCAAAUUCACAUUUAUUUUUUUUUCUAUUUUAGUAGCAAUUUUUUGAACUUUGUGAUGUGUCGUUACAUAAAAAAAAAUCCUCAGUAUUUAAAGGCCUUAAGCAUCUAUGAGCUUUUUUCUAAGUUAUUACAGAAUGUAUAAUUUUAUACUCCAUUUAAUGUAUAUUGUGUCAUCUGUAAUGUUGAUAGAACAGAAAUUUGGCAAUUCCUUUUAGUGACACUGUAUGAGCAUGCUGGCUUACAGAGUAAGGGAGUUCUGACUGUAUGCUUUGGUGCAUUAAAUGAAAACCACACACACUUAGUGGUAGUCAAAAUAUAUAUAGGGUCAAGCUUAUUUAAAAGUCCGGUGUGGUUACCAGACUCUCAGAAAAAGAGAGAAACAAUUUUAUCAUUACAAUCCAUUGACAUGGCUAGGUAGUUUUAUAUUAAGUUCCAUGAUGGAUGAACACCCUGGAGUGCUCUGCCUCCCAUGGUAUCCCCUGCUGUUCCCAAACCGUUUCAUUACCUCUGUUAUAUUACUGCACAGGAGAGUUAAAUAAAAUAAAUGAUUGUUCAGAAUAAAAUUGAGAAGUAUAUUCUAUCAUUCAGCUGAAAAAUAAUCAGAAAAGUUGUCAGAGAAAGAUUUUUUUUCUGAUUAAAUUUUAAUUAGGAUAAACUGUAGCAGCAACUAGGUAUCUCAGUAUGUUAGGAUGGAUUAAUAUUGUAUGGAUUUGUGCUAGCAGGUGCGGUACAGAAGGUAGCAUCUUAAAAAGAUUGAGACGGUACAAAGUAUAAAUGUGCUAUUUUGUAAAAUCUGGAUAUGGCCUGUCUUUGGUCAAAAAUCUGCAUCAUGCUUCUCAAUAUUUGUUUUUGGUUCUUUGUUCCUAAACCAACAUUGACAAUAUUGUAUUAUAUACAAGUGUAACACAUGCAUAUCAAUAAGCAAAAAUAAAUGGAUUUUCAAAUAUACUGAAUAGAUUAUCUGCAGUAGAUUACUGUUGUGAAUAUUCAUGACAAGUGAAUAAAAUUGUGAUAUAAAAUAGAGUAACCUAA